UACGAAGGGAGCAAGCGUUGUCCGGAUUUAUUGGGCGUAAAGAGCGUGUAGGCGGCCAGACAGGUCCGUUGUGAAAACUGGAGGCUUAACCUCCAGACGUCGAUGGAAACCGUCUGGCUAGAGUCCGGAAGAGGAGAGUGGAAUUCCUGGUGUAGCGGUGAAAUGCGCAGAUAUCGGGAGGAACACCAGUGGCGAAGGCGACUACCUGGCCUGUUUCUUGACGCUGAGGCGCGAAAGCUAGGGGAGCAAACGGG
rnacentral:rRNA from 1 species